GAGUUUGAUCUUGGCUCAGAUUGAACGCUGGCGGCAUGCCUUACACAUGCAAGUCGAACGGCAGCACGGGAGCUUGCUCCUGGUGGCGAGUGGCGAACGGGUGAGUAAUGCAUCGGAACGUAUCCUGGAGUGGGGGAUAACGUAGCGAAAGUUACGCUAAUACCGCAUAUUCUGUGAGCAGGAAAGCGGGGGACCUUCGGGCCUCGCGCUCUUGGAGCGGCCGAUGUCGGAUUAGCUAGUUGGUGAGGUAAAGGCUCACCAAGGCGACGAUCCGUAGCAGGUCUGAGAGGAUGAUCUGCCACACUGGAACUGAGACACGGUCCAGACUCCUACGGGAGGCAGCAGUGGGAAUUUUGGACAAUGGGGGCAACCCUGAUCCAGCCAUGCCGCGUGAGUGAAGAAGGCCUCGGUUGUAAGA
rnacentral:rRNA from 1 species